GGCGGUUAUCAAAACCGCCAUUAUAGCACUAUGGCAAAUUUUAAGCCGCCAAUGAUGCAUCCAUAAAGCGGCGAUUUUAGCAUAAUAAAUGGCGGUUUAAAACGCCGCUAUUUUUAUUUCAGAAUUUUCAUACGUCAUAACAUUUGAGGCCAGUAGAACCUUUGAUUGGGAAGAAAUGGCGAAUCUGUGGUCUACGAUGAAGCUCCCAUAGAUUUUGCUGAACUCCGCCACGGUCAUGGUCACGCCUUCAGCAAUUCAAACUCCUAACUCCAAAUAAAGCUCAGCCAAGUCAUCUCUAUUUUUAUCUCCUUUCUGCUCUGUAUUGAUUAUAUAUUGACGUGGAUCUAGGGUUUUAUUGUUUGUUUGCGUUGCUCUGUCAAUACAACAAACCUAUUGUAAUCUAUUGUUCUGCAUUUUGAGAGCCUAUUGUUUAUCAAAACAAAGGGGUUUAAUGUGGUACUUUAUAUUCAACAGGAGAUGGUAUUCCUAUAUCUAAAAGAGCAAAGGAUUUGGUGACAUUGUUGGAUAUCAAUAUCCUGCCUUUGCAGGUCAAAACUUCUGAAAUACAUAGUGGUUAUACAGAGGCAUACACCAUUCGGAUAGUUAAGAGACUGAAGAACUUCAACAAAUCAACACGAGAAUUUAUUCGAUUCCUCAAAACUAUUGAGUGUGUGACAAUUAUCAUAAGCAAAGCUGGAGUUGCGCUGCAUAACAAGAGGAUUGAAUGUUGGAUCAUUACCAAAGGAAAGGUUUUAUUAGAUUUCUCUACUUGACCACCUUAUUUUUGUUCAUGUUAACUGCGAUAGUGAUGACAUUUUCAUUCCAGUCUUACUGCAGAAAAAAGCAAAAGAUAAAAGUGUAAAUUGCCCCGAGCAAAUGGUACUUAUUUAGCAACGUAUUUCUUGCAGGUAUUUGAUUCAAGAAGUGGACGGCACUUGAAGAUGUUCAAACGGGAGUAACAAUGCGUAUCAUGUGUGCGGCCAUUAGUCAUUAUUGUUAGGAUUGACUUAAGUUUUCCUUUAAUCUUGUUAAGUAGUAGUUCUUUGAGAUUUUAACACAUUUGGUAUUGUGAUUUUACACUACUUAACGUUCUUUUUAA